UGAUCUCCUGGACAACAGACCAGUGGCGCCGAGACGAAGGGAGGUCCACGCAGAAGUUCAGGGGUGCAGCCGUAGAGAACGUGGGCAAAGAUAGACCGUCUCACGCCUCUGCCUCUCAGCUACCAUUGAACGAUGAGCUUCCCGGCCAAUGCACCAAAUGAUACCGGAGAAACUGACGGAAGCAAAGCACAGAGGGAUGGACACAGGUUUC
rnacentral:lncRNA from 1 species